AGUUUGAAGUAAUUAUUUUAAAUAAAUCCUGCCCAGUGUUUUUUAUAAAUGGCCGCAGUACCCUGACUGUGCAAAGGUAGCAUAAUCAAUUGGCUUUUAAUUAAAGUCUGGAAUGAAUGGAGUUUUGGAGAAAUACUGUCUUAAAACUAUUUAUUUGAAUUUAAUUAUUAGGUGAAAAUACCUAUUUUAAGAAAAAAGACGAGAAGACCCUUAGAAUUUUCAUAAAUUUAAAUAUUAUUUAAUAUAUUUUUGUUGGGGCGACAAUUAAACAUAUUAAACUUUAAUUUUUUUUUCAAAACGAAAUUGUUAUAUAAGAAUAAAUUACCUUAGGGAUAACAGCAUAAUUUUUUUUAAGUUUGUGACCUCGAUGUUGGACUAGGAACUUUAUGGCUAGCAGUCAAAAUAGAUUUGUU
rnacentral:rRNA from 1 species